rnacentral:misc_RNA from 1 species
CUCCACCGAUUUUUGGCCUCCCGCCCGGGAGGCCCUUUCU